UAGGGUGGUAUUCACACUGCAGUGGCAAGCUUGUCCGUCCCAGACUGGCCUACGCGUGUCAGUCUGCCUAACCGCCGCUUGUGAGGCUCACAGAUAGCACAGAUUUAAGCGACCCCCGCGGCGGACCUGUCUGCUACCACCUCUAGUUUACCAUUUACCCGGCCACUUUCUCACUUUGAACCUCCUCUUCCUCUUCCCUCUCUCUCUUCUUCCGAAACCCUAAUGCUUCAAUCUCUCACAUGGCCCUCUUCCAUCAUCUCCUCACCUACUCACCCUUCCCAAAAUUAGAGCAAUAUCCUCCAACAUGCAGAUCCCUGCGCAAACCAGUUUGCAGAAACCUGUCGCUAGCUUGCUCAGGAGAGCAACCCAGGGAGAAGGCAAAGUCAUCUAGACGCACCAAGAGCGACAAGGAAGUCUGCAAUGAACUCCGUGAGUUCAUGUCGGUGAUUGGGCUUCCUGAAAAUCGGGUUCCAACGCUCAAGGAGCUUUCUGAACAUGGAAGGAAAGACUUGGCAAACAUUGUUAGGCGGAGAGGAUAUAAAGCUAUUACAAAGCUUCUUUUAAGUUCAAAUGCAAAUGAUUCAGAGUAUUCCGAUGAAAAUCAUGAAAGAAACAAUUCUGCUGAAGACAAAAGUUCAGGUCGAGAAGUGACAGCACCAAUUGUAACUGCUGAAUACGUCUUCUUUUCAAGUGAUUCUCCUGUGAUGGACGAAGAUACAUUUAAUUCAAAUGGUACAAUAUUUGCAAAUUCCAAUGCCGUAGUUCAUAAAUCCUCAGACUCUUCUGUCAAUAUUCUGCAUUCUAAGGCAGCAAAGUUUAUUCAAACCGGAGAAUUGGAUGAUUUAGAAGCAAUUGUGGUAUCUCAGCCAGUGACUCCUUCCAUCGAGGACAAGUUCCAUAAAAGAGGCAUUUAUUCAUCAUACGAAGGCACUAACUUUGGUGAGGAAUCUGCUUCUAAGGCUUUUGUAAAGGAUAAUCAAAUCGAAAUCAGUCGUCUAAAGGCUUUACUGCAUCAAAAGGAAAUGGAGCUUUCCCGAUUGAAGCAGCAGAUAGAAGAGGAAAAGAUUGACAACACUCACCCUCGAAGCUAUUUAAGAUUUGAAAGAUAUUGGGUAAUGGGGACUGAUAUGCCUUUUAUAGGAAGCAGCUUUAAGCUUGCAUUUCUCAAUUCACAAGCUAAGUUGAAAGCUGAGAUUUCAAACAUACAACAAAAUAUUGCACAAAAAGAUGUGGAACUCCGUGCUGCUGAGGAGGAACUUAUCGGAUUAAAAGAGGUUCAAAUUGAUUACUGGGCAAAUGGUGAAGUGGUAGAGAUAGCUGGUAGCUUUAAUGGAUGGCAACAUCGGAUCAAAAUGGAUUUGGAUCCAUCAUCACAGUCAACAAAUCCAUCUGUAUCCAGGCAAUCACUACACUGGACAACCAUCUUGUGGCUUUAUCCUGGAGUUUACGAGAUAAAAUUUAUUGUUGAUGGUAAUUGGAGAACCGAUUCCCGGCGAGAGAUUGUAACUAGCGGAAACAUCACCAACAAUGUGCUGAGGGUGGAUCAAUGAAUUGAACAUCUCUUUUCUCAAUUGAUUAUGCCAAGGAUUGAAACAGUAAAGAAUAUGUGCUCCAAGAGUUCAUGGAGUCGGAGCCUCAGAGUGCCAAUCUUCGUGCAAUGACCCAUCAAGCCACCUCCAUUUUUCCCCUAUAACUCUAUAAUUUCUUUGCUAGUGCAGCGCCGACUAACGAUCAAUAUCAUAUGCGAAGAAAAAGAUGCCCAUCUGUGAGCUGGAUGUGGUCAAUUUUCUUUCUUGAAAACGGACAUAAUGGAAAUAUGAUCCAAAUUAAGUAGAUAAUUUAUACACAGUAGUAUAUAGAGGGGGAAACUAAGGAAGUGGCUGCAGAUCAGUGAUCCCCUUUUCCCUUGAACCAAUGCAGUCAUGGGGCAUAGAGAGACCAUGCUUGUGUAUUAACCGUUUUUUAAUCCAGACAGAAGCUUGUGUUCUUAGUUAUGUGCAUAUUUUGGAGAUUCAACAAUAAUUGAUUAUGAUCUUGUACAAUGCAGUAUGAAUUGGAGACGUAUCUUAAAAAUCAGCGUGGGAGGACAAAAAAGGAGACACGAAAGAAUUGGCUGUGCUCCUAGGACAAGUCAAACCUUACUAUUUGCAGUGUAGCUGUUGGUUCUAUUAAAGGGCAUUCUUCAGGAUCGUGCAUUGUCAUUCUCUAAAGGCACAUCCUCGUGAAUAUUUUAAAGACACAGCUCUAUAGACAAAUUAAUUUAGUAAGGAGGAGCAUCUGAAAAUAACUAGUUGACGGAUCAAAUAUCGGCACACCAUUCUAAAGUUGACAAGUAAUUUUUAUAUAACUAUGAACUUCUCAAUGUGGAUAUUCUUUUGAACAUAGGUAUCCUUCUAAACAUAUAUUUCGGCAUACGCUUAAUCAGGGCCACAAGUCACUAUUGCUCUUGACUUGACGAGGGCGGCCACGGAUACUUGCUCUGUUGCUGAAGUGAACGGCGGCCGAGUGCUAGGGUCGGUCCCUCGUGGGGUCAGUAAUGGCAAGAGGAGCCUGAAGGAUUAGGGCAAAUGCGGGAGGCCAAACAGGAGGGAUGUAGGUAGAUGGAUUCGAUAGGGAUUUGGGGAGUAAAGUAGUAGUAAGUAGUGGUAGUGGGUCGAGUUGUCGGGGACCGGGUCUGAUUGGCUGGGCUGGACUGACAGUUGCUCACAGAGCCUUCCAACUCAAGCCCAUACGAGGAGCGUACCCAGAAAGGAGAUCCAGCCUGGUAGUAGAUUGAGAACCCGGGAGACCCAUUGGGAUAUUCUAUUUUUAUUUUUUAUUUUUACUAUCCUCUAGUUUUUAUGAAAUUGCGUAGUAUUCCUUAUGUGAUAGGUAUAAAUAGAAAAGGGGGAUAGAAUCCUAUCUUCUUCUCCAACCAUCUCUCUCCUCCUCCUCUCUUCUCCUCCCUUCUCUUCCUCUUCCCUCUUCUGGAUCUUCUUUUAUUUCACCUAUCCUCGAUUCAAUUUGAGGAUUCCAUCAUCUCCAUCCUGAGAUUCUCAGAGCAAGUUUAUCAUCGGAUUUGAGGGUCGAUCAGAAUAUUGCAAAUUGCUAUCAAAGCAGCAUCAGUCCUAGGGAGGAGAGGUAGUAGCUAGGGUUAAUAGAGGAUCGAUAGAUCCGAGGAAUUGAUACAGGAGCGGCGAAUAACCUGCAUUCUGGAUUCCAACUUCGGUUGUAGAGUCUCGGAUACAAGGGUUAGCUAGGAGCAACAAUUGCCUCUGCCAGAGCAUGAUCGACAACUAGGGAAUCAGAUAUUAAUUACUGCGAGCCAUACUUGGGGGAGCCAUUGGGUCGAGUUGAGGCAAUCACUCCAAAUUUAUUAGUAAGGCAUUCAUGGCUGAGGGUACCAGGCUUAAAUUGCUCAACAAGAACGUCCACGCCUUAGAGCAGAGGUUGCAGGAGAUGGCAGUGGGCAACGAUCAGAAGUUCGAGGAACUAAAUUGAAAGAUUGAGGCUAUGCAAGCAAAGGGGCAGAAACAUUAUGAAUCCCUGCGUCGUGAAACAGCAAAUUCAUCAAAGAGGCCGGAGCAACUUAUGGAUCUACUGUGGAAUUAAUAGCAGCAAUCAGCAUCCAAGGGGACUUCCGCAUCGAUUACUCAGGAGGAAAGAGCAAAAAAAGACGUCCUUUGCACGGGAGCUGACACCUCGGUGAGGACAUCGAUCAGAUCGCCAAUCUCGUGUGGAUACUUAUAGAGGCAAGAUGCUUGUGUGGCUUUAAGAGAACUAAUUCCACGAUCAUUAUAUUGCGGUGAAGAUCUACCCGUGCAAAGUUGAAGAUUAGAUUUUUCUUUUCUCCUUUAAUCUUAAACAACAUGAAAGAUCCUGUUUGAGUGAUUUUAGAGACCUGACUUUGAAUUUUAAAAAUUAAAUUUGUUUGAUUUCUUUUUCCGCUGUAAUUUUACCGUACGUAAUUUUCUAACACCCGAAUCCACUUUUUAGAUCUAUGAUAAUCACGAGUUACAUUAUGUUUUCAUGUGCA